rnacentral:misc_RNA from 1 species
UCCCCCCUCGCCAAUCGGAUUCGUAACGUCGCGCGCUCCCAACGGCGCUAGUCUGACGUUUUCCGUUACAAUCGAGUGGACGGGAGAUCGUGGGCGAUCGUGGUCAACGGUCAACGGUCAACGGUAGCGAUCUCGCAGUUUAUUUCGUACGUAGCGCGCGCGCGCGCGUUCUCCCGAUUACGGCGAGCUUCGGAGCAUCGGCAACUACGACGAUUCCCUUCUUUCGCGAGCGAUCGACGACGACGACGACGACGAGGACGACCGUCGCACCACCGUUCGCCCUUUCAUCUGUAUGCCUCGCGUACGCCCCCACCGUCACCGAUUUUCCAUGAAUGUUAAUAUUGUCUUCCUAGAGCCACUGGUAAUGCAAAUAUUCUUCCUUGAUCUGAAAUCUGCAAGAUGGUUUUCGUCAUCCAGUUCCAAUUUUAGCUGAGAGUAAUAUAGAAAUAGCGAAACGAAAUCGGUCCAGCUUGGUGGUAAUGCGGGGAUGUGGAUCUGCUUCGACCCAACAGAAAGCCGAGUAGGCUGGGGUACUUCCAUUUCAUUUGUUGUGCUUCUGUACUGGACCUCCAUUACCAUCGAUGCCAGUUUAACAAAUGCAGCCGCGUCCAAUGUCCCACAUAGUACCGUCACGUCGGAGGUAUCGCUACCAGCGUCGGCACACCACGAUAACGACGAAUGCAGGAAUGUGACCACUGACAAUAGAGAGGGUACUGGACUGUCAGUGGUCAGCCAUGGAUCCGGUUAUCCUCAUUCGCCGAUAGUGCCUCCAACUUUUCUGUACGGAGCUCUUACCUGCCAACCCUAUCAAGGAAUUUACGUGAACCACAUCUACUUUCAACUCGCAAAUGCCUUCUUCCUAUUGUCUCACCUUGCACCAAGCGGCAUACAUGGUGUACUCUAUUUAAGGUGCACUCUACUCGUGGGCUGUGCCUUUCUUGCUUUGUGGGGCUGGACAAUAGCUUGCUGGCUGGAUGCUGCUCUCUGGAAUGCUCUCUUUGUUGCCAUCAACUUCGUCCAUGUAUGCACGCUUCUUUACAAGCUCAGGCCUAUCAAGUUUACCAGGGAAAUUGAAGAGGUAUACAUUGCAGUGUUCCAGCCACUACGGGUUUCUCGUCAUCAAUUCAAAAAAGUAUUAAAUUGCAUGAAGGUCAUUCGCCAGUUGAAGUAUCAAGAGGUUUAUGCACAAGAAAAAGUGACCAAAGUCGAUUCUUUAUCAUUGGUGCUGUCGGGAAAAUUAGUUGUCUCACAAAGUGGGAGAGCAUUGCAUAUUGUCUUCCCACAUCAGUUCCUGGAUUCUCCAGAAUGGUUUGGUGUUUCGACAGACGAAUAUUUCCAGGUAUCCAUAACAGCUAUGGAAGAAUCGAGAAUAUUAUUAUGGCAUAGGGACAAACUAAAAUUAAGCAUAAUUAGCGAUCAAUUCCUGCAGGCAGUGUUUGAUCACAUCCUGGGAAGAGAUGUAGUUAAGAAAUUGAUGCAGGUCAGUGAAACAAUGGCUGCUAGCAAUCAUCAGCAGCAAAAUGGACAGAUAAUUGGUCUGGGUGGAAUAGGAGCCUUAGAAAAUGAUGCUGAUACGAAACUUUUUGUUGUAAAAAAGACUGGUGACAGUCAAGGCAUUACUGCUCUCAUUAGUCGUCAACUUCAAGAAGAGAGAAUGCCACUACUAUACACGAGCCAAGAAGUAUUGAAUAAUACCUUACACCAUACAAAUCCUUUACGUGUACCAUCCUAUACACUCCCUUCACAUCCUAUGUCGUACAAUGUUCAGACUUCACUGUAAUAUCCUUGCCUACCAAUUGUGCAAUCUAGCACAAAUCGUGUGCUGUACAUGUUAUGUUCCUGCAAUGGAUGCGUAUACAUUAUACAAAUGUCAAAGAGUAACAUCAUUUAUUAUUCUUCCUGGAUAUCAUAUUAAAAGCGGCAGGAGAUCCAAAUGCUUGGAGAUUGGGAAGAAUUGAAGAGACUGAUCAUGAAACACCUGUUUAAUGGAAGGAUUAUCAAAUCGAUGUCAUCCUCGACAGUCAAUA